CCUCAUGUCCUUGGCUUCCUAAGUCCCAGAUGUGGUGAAGAAUGCCCAUCAACUGUGCUACUACAGAGUGCUUUUGGAUUGAGAUGAGGGAGGAGAAAUGGCUGAACUCACUCAAAUGUGAUCAUUUUCUUGGUCUAGGUCACAGCCAGGCAACACAGUCCUCUGGGCACAAUAUCAUCACUUGCCAUGUUUCUAUCAAAAUGAAAGUAUCUU
rnacentral:lncRNA from 1 species